rnacentral:lncRNA from 10 species
AGAAAGCUCCUUUCAUUGGUGUGUUCAGAGAGCCCUUGAUUAUGAAGACUCAGUACCCUGCUUGGAAAACAAUCUGAAUGAAUGUGUUUCAGUGUGGGAGAUGGGGAAGUCACGCAGGGACAGUCUGGGAAGGCAGGAGGGAGGCUGGUAUUUACCUUCCUGCCCUCUGGAAGGGUGGUGGCCUUGCAGAUCCCAGUCCCAGCCUUUCUUUCGCUCAGUUUCCCUGGGUGGAAACUGGGCUUGUGAAAAUGAUGGUGGUAAGGUCUCCGCGCGUCCCUGGUAACACCUAACCAGGAGCCUCUCUCUGCUGGAGGCUUCAUGAGAGCAACUUCUCCCUUCAUCCUGCCAGCUGAGGUGAUGACAGCAAACCACCACCGCCACAAGCCUCAUGCCAUCCCAGCCUGGAAUUCUCUCCCCGGCGCAGACGGUGCCCCUGCAGAGAUGAGGCCAUGAGGCCCUCGGCAGAGCCAAGGAGCCUGAUCACAUAUUUAUUACUGGCACCAACAGCAGGGAGCUACCACACCGAUUACUUGUUCUUUUGUUUGACUACUAUCUAUUGAGUAUCAGCUGUAUGCCAGGCAGUGUCCUAGACUCCAUGGACAAAGCAGGGAACAAGGCAUCCAGGUCCUGGUUUCUGAGCCUCUUGCAUUCUGUGUGGGAGAGAGAUGAUAGGAGCAGAAAUAAAAAAGGCUGGCUCUUGACUCAGAUGUGUUGCUGCCAAGGGAGAGCCUGAAAGACCGAAGCGAAGGCAGAAUGACAAGAAACCGUGGAGUCUGCAGCAACCACUUCAAACAGGAGACAGGCUCAUGGCCGAGGCUCCCUUCCUUAUCCAUGUAUCCAUGUUAGAAUUAGAAUUCAGAUGCUGUUAGAAUUCUCAAGAAGGUGUAUAAUAAGUUAUCUUGGGCUGGACACUGUGGUUCAUGCCUGAAAUCCCAACACUUUGGGAGGCUGAGGCAAGAGGAUCACUUGAACCCAGGAGUUUGGGACCAGCCUGGGCAACAUAGUGAGACCCUGUCUCCACAAAAAAUGCAAAAGUAGUCAAGCAUGGUGGUGCACACCUGUAGUCCCAGCUACUCGGGAGGCUGAGGUGGGAGAAUUGCUUGAGCCUAAGAGAUAGAGGUUGCAGUGAGCUGAGACGAAGCCACUGCACUCAACCUGGGCGACAGAGGAGACCUUGCCUCAAAUAAUAAUAAAGUUAUUUUGAAUUGAAAAUAAAGUUAGACUCUUG